GGGUUGUCCUGUUGACAAUGCCAACUAAUUUUGUCCUUAUAUCUAAAAAAUGGGUAGUACUGUACUAUAGAAAUAAUUUGGAUUUUCAUAUAAAAUUUUAUUUUUUUAGUUUAUCCUCUUCCUAAUAAAAAAUUAGCUUUUAUGCGAUAUGUCAAUUCCACAACCCAUAAUUUUGUAAAAGCAAAUUCCUAAAAUACCCUUCAAACUGUCAUUCUGUACGUGUAUUGUCUUCUGUUUCUGUAUCAAUCUCUAUUCAAUAUCUUUUUGAAAACCCCUCACCCCAUCAAAUAAGCAAAGAAAUCCCAAAAAAUAAGGACGUAAAUCAUGCUCAUAUUCAAGAGAUUUAAAGAAAGCUCAAUCUCACUCACUCAUUCCAAAGCUUCAUAAUCCAUAUCCAUCUUUCUUCACAAUAGUUGUAGUCCAUUCGCUUGUAAUUCGUUUUUGUUAUGUAGUAAUCUCGAUUUUCAAGAUGAAUGAAUCAGACAUGCUUAAAAACGAGAACUGGGAGGAGAAUUCCCAUGAGGAAAUCACACCUUCUGCAGUAGAUUAAAAGUUGUCAACAAACCGUGUUGAUUUGCGAAGUAUAAAAUGGAUUUCAAAGUUCUUGAAUUAUGAGCUAUUGCAAUAUAGUCUGGAAGUACUUAUGUGCCCCUCUAGCAAGAAAAUGACCAAAAUCUGAAGAAGAUGCAGACAUUAUAGGAUCAGUGGACCAAUUAUAGGAAUUACUACAACAAAUUGAAAAAGAGAAAGAACCCAAUGUGGAGAGACUUCUAAAGUUAAUAAUGUGACUUCACAAGUGGAGUAUAGUAGGCAUUGUUUGGAACAAAGGCAAAUGAAUAUAGAAGCUUUUGGUUGUUGAGCUAUAAAUGAAAAGAUUAACAUGGAGAAUGAUUCAGCGGCAUCUACACAACAAAUAUUAGCAUCUACACUACAAAUAUUACACCAUAAAUCUGAAGAGAUCAUUAAAGAGUUUUUGGAGUAUUCAAAUUCUACUAGGCACUUUGUUUCUCAGAUUGUGGAAGAAGCACAAGGCAUCACAAACAGAUCUUUUUAAUGCUCUACUUUUUGUUUGAUGAUUAUAUUAUGAUGCUGAUUUUGCAAAUUCUUUUUGGAUUAAUGUUAUUAAUGGGUAAGAAACUAUUAUAAAUUCAAUAAAUUGGUCAUUGGUAGGAGGAAGGGUAUAUUGGUCUAUUUGAAGUAGAGUGAAUUGAUGUGCAUGUGAUUGUAUCUGUUAGUUUGUGUGUAAUUGUGGGAUGGGUGUUUUGACUACUUACUAUAACAAACAAACUUUAUACCUUUGUAA